rnacentral:tRNA from 1 species
ACUUUUAAUGGACAUUAGCAGUCCAAUGGUCUUAGGAGCACAGUCUG